AUUGAACGCUGGCGGCAGGCCUAACACAUGCAAGUCGAACGGUAACAGGAAGAAGCUUGCUUCUUUGCUGACGAGUGGCGGACGGGUGAGUAAUGUCUGGGAAACUGCCUGAUGGAGGGGGAUAACUACUGGAAACGGUAGCUAAUACCGCAUAACGUCGCAAGACCAAAGAGGGGGACCUUCGGGCCUCUUGCCAUCGGAUGUGCCCAGAUGGGAUUAGCUAGUAGGUGGGGUAACGGCUCACCUAGGCGACGAUCCCUAGCUGGUCUGAGAGGAUGACCAGCCACACUGGAACUGAGACACGGUCCAGACUCCUACGGGAGGCAGCAGUGGGGAAUAUUGCGCAAUGGGCGCAAGCCUGAUGCAGCCAUGCCGCGUGUAUGAAGAAGGCCUUCGGGUUGUAAAGUACUUUCAGCGGGGAGGAAGGGAGUAAAGUUAAUACCUGUGCUCAUUGACGUUACCCGCAGAAGAAGCACCGGCUAACUCCGUG
rnacentral:rRNA from 1 species